rnacentral:lncRNA from 1 species
GCCCCCACUAUGCUUCGCCAAUGCCGAUCGGCAAGUUGAUGUUGGCGGUGGACAUGCCGUGCGUCAAGGUGGUUGCCGACAGGGGUGGCCUAACCCACCCCGCACACCCUUAGUGGUGUUUUGUUUUGUACUUUGAACAUAAAUGAGAAACAAUGGAGCCAAUGCUAAUUGCUACCUUGAUUUUUAAAAACUAGUGCUAAGAUCAUACUUCCCCCUUUACGCAUAAGUUACAUCUAUAUUUUAUAAUUGACACAAUAACAUACAAUUUGCCUUCUAGUAACUCGUACAUCAAAGUUUCAAGCAAUCGUUUUCACUCUAGUUAAGCCUUAUUGUGCGUGUUCACGCAGUCCGAUAGAGAUUAAUGCAACUUAAUGAACUGCAAUCCGAAUAUCAAAAAAACUAUAGGUAAAUAAGGUAAGUAUGAUUUUCCAAAUUUAUCUCAAUACAAUCUGAUCCUCCAAAUCUGAUUGUAUAACCCUAAUUUAGAAUCUAGAUCACCUUUUUUCCCCAAAUAAGCAGUUUAAUUGCACAUCCAAAAGCACUCUUACUAUACAAUAUCUACCAUAAGUAUAGAGAUCAUCACAUCACAUCCUGAUCAACACAACGUUCUCUGUUAGAUCUCACAACUAAUUAAAUCUCUAAAUUCUCAACUUAAAAACCCUAGAGAACACCGUAAACCUAACCAGAGGAAAUCAAACAACGGAUAAAACGAAAUUUGAUAAAAUAGGAUGGAUCGUAACGAAUAAGACAUAACAGAUAGUUAUAAUUUGAAUCAAAUCGGUAUAAUAAUGGAUCUGUGAUGAGAAAUUUGAAACCCUAACCUGAAAGGAUGAAGAUUACCGUUGGUGAAGUGAAGAGAUGCAGAUGAAUAUUGU